AUUUUAUACGACGAGUGAGUGAUACGAUGUAGGGUUAUGAUGUCUAUACUCGACAUUUGCCUGUGGUGUUGAUGGAUUUCAUGGAGAUUUAUUUGCUUUUCUGCUGUAUUUUUGUUAUGAAGCUAGCCUUGAGCUACACAGACAAAAGAGACACUAGAAGCUUCGGGAGAAGACCAGACGUGCAACGAGAAGGCCACAAGGUACUAGGGCGCGCCCAGGGGUAGGCGCGCCCUAGUACCUUGUGGCCCCCCUGUGGCUCCGUUUGACCUAAUUCCACCUUUGUAAAUUCUCCAAAAUUGGGAAACCAACAUAGAACCACCCAAAAUACUUUUUCCGCCGCCGCAAGUUUUUGUUCUUUGGAGAUCCCAUCUGGAGGCCUUUUCCGAUACUCUACCGGAGGGGGAAUCGACCACGGAGGGGUCUACAUCAACCUUGCCGCCCUUCCGAUGAUGGGUGAGUAGUUUACCACAGACCUACAUGUCCAUAGCUAGUAGCUAGAUGGCUUCUUCUCUCUCUUUGAUCUUCAAUAUAAUGUACUCCUCGAUGUUCUUGGAGAUCUAUUCGAUGUAAUCUUCUUUUGCGGUGUGUUUAUUGGGAUCCGAUGAAUUGUGGGUUUAUGAUCAGAUUGUCUAUGAAUAUUAUUGGAGUCUUCUUUGAACUCUUU